UGUCAGCCGCCGCGGUAAUACGAAGGGGGCUAGCGUUGUUCGGAUUUACUGGGCGUAAAGCGCACGUAGGCGGACUAUUAAGUCAGGGGUGAAAUCCCGGGGCUCAACCCCGGAACUGCCUUUGAUACUGGUAGUCUUGAGUUCGAGAGAGGUGAGUGGAAUUCCGAGUGUAGAGGUGAAAUUCGUAGAUAUUCGGAGGAACACCAGUGGCGAAGGCGGCUCACUGGCUCGAUACUGACGCUGAGGUGCGAAAGCGUGGGGAGCAAACAGGAUU
rnacentral:rRNA from 1 species